rnacentral:rRNA from 1 species
UGGGGAAUAUUGGACAAUGGGCGCAAGCCUGAUCCAGCAAUGCCGCGUGUGUGAAGAAGGCCUUCGGGUUGUAAAGCACUUUUAUCAGGAGCGAAACGCUGUCGGCUAAUACCCGGCGGAACUGACGGUACCUGAGGAAUAAGCACCGGCUAAUUUCGUGCCAGCAGCCGCGGUAAUACGAAGGGUGCAAGCGUUAAUCGGAAUUACUGGGCGUAAAGCGUGCGUAGGCGGUUUCUUAAGUCUGCUGUGAAAUCCCCGGGCUCAACCUGGGAAUGGCAGUGGAUACUGGGAGGCUAGAGUGUGUCAGAGGGUGGUGGAAUUCCCGGUGUAGCGGUGAAAUGCGUAGAGAUCGGGAGGAACAUCAGUGGCGAAGGCGGCCCACCUGGGGACAACACUGACGCUGAGGCACGGAAAGCGUGGGGAGCAAACAGGAUUAGAUACCCUGGUAGUCUACGCCCUAAACGAUGCGAACUGGAUGUUGGUCUCAACUCGGAGAUCAGUGUCGAAGCUAACGCGUUAAGUUCGCCGCCUGGGGAGUACGGUCGCAAGACUG